CUUCACAGGCCGCCGUGUGUGCCUCGGGGAGCCCCUGGCCCGCAUGGAGCUCUUCCUCUUCUUCACCUGCCUCCUGCAGCGCUUUAGCUUCUCGGUGCCCCCUGGACAAGCCUGGCCCAGUGACCGUGGUGUCUUUGCCCUCCUGCUGACCCCAUCCCCGUACCAACUGUGUGCUGAGCCCCGCUAGAGGAGGUGCAGACCCCAACCCUGCCCCCAGACGGGGCUCUGAUGUUCAAUAAACCAGUCUUGUCACUGCC
rnacentral:lncRNA from 1 species